GACGAACGCUGGCGGCGUGCUUAACACAUGCAAGUCGAACGGAAAGGCCCUGCUUUUGUGGGGUGCUCGAGUGGCGAACGGGUGAGUAACACGGGAGUAACCUGCCCUUGACUUUGGGAUAACUUCAGGAAACUGGGGCUAAUACCGGAUAGGAGCUCCUGCUGCAUGGUGGGGGUUGGAAAGUUUCGGCGGUUGGGGAUGGACUCGCGGCUUAUCAGCUUGUUGGUGGGGUAGUGGCUUACCAAGGCUUUGACGGGUAGCCGGCCUGAGAGGGUGACCGGACACAUUGGGACUGAGAUACGGCCCAGACUCCUACGGGAGGCAGCAGUGGGGAAUAUUGCACAAUGGGCGGAAGACUGAUGCAGCAACGCCGCGUGCGGGAUGACGGCCUUCGGGUUGUAAACCGCUUUCGCCUGUGACGAAGCGUGAGUGACGGUAAUGGGUAAAGAAGCACCGGCUAACUACGUG
rnacentral:rRNA from 1 species